rnacentral:rRNA from 1 species
GACGAACGCUGGCGGCGUGCUUAACACAUGCAAGUCGAACGGAAAGGCCCUGCUUUUGUGGGGUGCUCGAGUGGCGAACGGGUGAGUAACACGUGAGUAACCUGCCCUUGACUUUGGGAUAACUUCAGGAAACUGGGGCUAAUACCGGAUAGGAGCUCCUGCUGCAUGGUGGGGGUUGGAAAGUUUCGGCGGUUGGGGAUGGACUCGCGGCUUAUCAGCUUGUUGGUGGGGUAGUGGCUUACCGAGGCUUUGACGGGUAGCCGGCCUGAGAGGGUGACCGGCCACAUUGGGACUGAGAUACGGCCCAGACUCCUACGGGAGGCAGCAGUGGGGAAUAUUGCACAAUGGGCGGAAGCCUGAUGCAGCAACGCCGCGUGCGGGAUGACGGCCUUCGGGUUGUAAACCGCUUUCGCCUGUGACGAAGCGUGAGUGACGGUAAUGGGUAAAGAAGCACCGGCUAACUACGUGCCAGCAGCCGCGGUGAUACGUAGGGUGCGAGCGUUGUCCGGAUUUAUUGGGCGUAAAGGGCUCGUAGGUGGUUGAUCGCGUCGGAAGUGUAAUCUUGGGGCUUAACCCUGAGCGUGCUUUCGAUACGGGUUGACUUGAGGAAGGUAGGGGAGAAUGGAAUUCCUGGUGGAGCGGUGGAAUGCGCAGAUAUCAGGAGGAACACCAGUGGCGAAGGCGGUUCUCUGGGCCUUUCCUGACGCUGAGGAGCGAAAGCGUGGGGAGCGAACAGGCUUAGAUACCCUGGUAGUCCACGCUGUAAACGGUGGGUACUAGGUGUGGGGUCCAUUCCACGGGUUCCGUGCCGUAGCUAACGCUUUAAGUACCCCGCCUGGGGAGUACGGCCGCAAGGCUAAAACUCAAAGGAAUUGACGGGGCCCCGCACAAGCGGCGGAGCAUGCGGAUUAAUUCGAUGCAACGCGUAGAACCUUACCUGGGUUUGACAUGGAUCGGGAGCGCUCAGAGAUGGGUGUGCCUCUUUUGGGGUCGGUUCACAGGUGGUGCAUGGCUGUCGUCAGCUCGUGUCGUGAGAUGUUGGGUUAAGUCCCGCAACGAGCGCAACCCUUGUUCACUGUUGCCAGCACGUUAUGGUGGGGACUCAGUGGAGACCGCCGGGGUCAACUCGGAGGAAGGUGGGGAUGACGUCAAGUCAUCAUGCCCCUUAUGUCCAGGGCUUCACGCAUGCUACAAUGGCUGGUACAGAGAGUGGCGAGCCUGUGAGGGUGAGCGAAUCUCGGAAAGCCGGUCUCAGUUCGGAUUGGGGUCUGCAACUCGACCUCAUGAAGUCGGAGUCGCUAGUAAUCGCAGAUCAGCAACGCUGCGGUGAAUACGUUCCCGGGGCU